rnacentral:rRNA from 1 species
UGCGGCGGAUUAGGUAGUUGGUGGGGUAACGGCCUACCAAGCCGAUGAUCCGUAGGGGGCGUGAGAGCGUGGCCCCCCACACUGGCACUGAGACACGGGCCAGACUCCUACGGGAGGCAGCAGUGAGGAAUAUUGCACAAUGGGCGCAAGCCUGAUGCAGCAACGCCGCGUGAGGGACGAAGGCCUUCGGGUUGUAAACCUCUUUUCUGGGGGACGAGUAAGGACGGUACCUCAGGAAUAAGUCUCGGCUAACUACGUGCCAGCAGCCGCGGUAAAACGUAGGAGGCGAGCGUUAUCCGGAUUUACUGGGCGUAAAGCGUACGCAGGUGGCUUCGUGAGUCGGACAUGAAAGCUCCCGGCUUAACUGGGAGAGGUUGUUCGAUACUGCGAGGCUUGAGGUUGGGAGAGGGACGUGGAAUUCCCGGUGUAGUGGUGGAAUGCGUAGAUAUCGGGAGGAACACCAGUGGCGCAAGCGGCGUCCUGGCCCACACCUGACGCUGAGGUACGAAAGCGUGGGUAGCAAACAGGAUUAGAUACCCUGGUAGUCCACGCUGUAAACGAUGUCAACUGGGUGUCGGUAGUUUUACACUAUCGGUGCCGAAGCUAACGCG